rnacentral:SRP_RNA from 1 species
GAUCGGGUCCCAUAGACUAUGGAUCCGUGAACCCCGCCAGGUCCGAGAGGAAGCAACGGUGUCGGUCCCCAUGGGGCUUUGGUAAACCCGGUCAUC